GAUUAUCUAGGGUGUUGAUGGCUCUGAAGUAGGUCAGGCCGUUAGUUGGGGCCUCACGCCACUGGAUCUGUACACUGUUGACGGUCUCAUCGCGGACGACGAUGGGCUCUUUGCUC